GACGAACCGUGCGAACGUUAUUCGGAAUCAUUGGGCUUAAAGGGCGCGUAGGCGGCGGUGUAAGUUGGAAGUGAAAUCCCAUCGGCUCAACCGUGGAAUUGCUCCCAGUACUGCACUGCUCGAGGGGGAUAGGGGUCUGCGGAACUACCGGUGGAGCGGUGAAAUGUGUUGAUAUCGGUGGGAACGCCAGUGGCGAAAGCGGCAGACUUGACCCUUCCUGACGCUGCAGCGCGAAAGCUAGGGAGCAA
rnacentral:rRNA from 1 species